GACGAACGCUGGCGGCGUGCUUAACACAUGCAAGUCGAACGGAAAGGCCCUGCUUUUGUUGUUUGCUCGAGUGGCGAACGGGUGAGUAACACGUGAGUAACCUGCCCUUGACUUUGGGAUAACCUCAGGAAACUGGGGCUAAUACCGGAUAGGAGCUCCUGCUGCAUGGUGGGGGUUGGAAAGUUUCGGCGGUUGGGGAUGGACUCGCGGCUUAUCCGCUUGUUUGUGUGGUAGUGGCUUACCAAGGCUUUGACGGGUAGCCGGCCUGAGAGGGUGACCGGCCACAUUGGGACUGAGAUACGGACCAGAAUCCUACGGGAGGCAGCAGGGGGGAAUAUUGCACAAUGGGCGGAAGCCUGAUGCAGCAACGCCGCGUGCGGGAUGACGGCCUUCGGGUUGUAAACAGAUUUCGCCUGUGACGAAGCGUGAGUGACGGUAAUGGGUAAAGAAGCACCGGCUAACUACGUG
rnacentral:rRNA from 1 species